rnacentral:lncRNA from 1 species
CGUCUCUUUGCUGGCCUCAGGAUCGCUGUCAUCAGUCAAGGCUGCCGGAGGGUUGUUUUCACGAGUUCUCUCAAAUGCUGCAGGAGCUUAGGAACAGGUGACCUGAACUUGAGACUUCCUGACCUGGUCUCUGAAUGAAAUAAGAGGAGGUGACAGGCUCUGUACCAGCAACUUUUGUGUCCCCUGAGGGUGGGGAUCCUGUGAGGCCGGGGAAGCACAAUUGUCCUGUCCCUGGGCACGAGGCCAGCUGCAGCGAGACAGGUUCACAGGUGGAGGGGUGAUCACGGAAGGGCGUGCCCGGGCUUUGGAAAACUGGAGAAAGUUGGUCCUUGGAUGGGGUGUGGAAAGAACAUGAGCUAUGGGUGGGGAGGAGCCAGGAUGAUUGACAGCUCUGAGCAGUGAAGGAAAAACUGUCUCCCCAAGUAGAGAUCUGAGGUUUCCACAGUACAGUAGGAGCUGAGUCUGUCACAUGGACUGGGUGGUCACCUGGCACAUUCCAGCAAAAGUGCUGCCCCCUGGAAGCCAAGGCCAUCCAUGCAGUUGAGCCAGUGGCCACUACAAGAUUUUGAAUUUUGAGGCAAUGAUUCCACAAAGGGCAUUAUAAACAGUUUGCAUCCACUUGCCUUCCUAGAAAACAGGAGCUGCCUUCGAGAUCUGUUCUGGCAUUGGAAGCAUCCCAAGGUUUCCAGGGUGUGAAUACUGACUUGUCAACCAAAGGGCACGCUCCUCAUUCUCUCAAUGCCUAUCCUGCCUCUUCCAACCCAGGGUUGUGCCACCAUUUUAUCCAUUAAGCCCAGCCCCUGCCUUGUCAGUCCCACCCCAAUACACCAAGGACACUGAACUGGGGUUCUGCAGCAUCUUUGCUGAAAAAAAAUGAAAGGAUAGUUUCAAUCCCAUAGCCCCUGUCAUCACCUCUCAUCACACUCUACUGCCAUGAUCUCCUGAAGCAUGUGAACCUCCGUGACCUCCCUCACAAAUGUCCCCAGGCAUUGCUGAUGUGGCUGCAUAGCAUGGAUGGUCAGGAGACUGUCCAGUGAAUCUUGCAAACUCCUCCUCCCCCAACCUCAGCCAGGAGAUCACUCCUGGGUGAAGUCCUCCCAUCUCAAGCACAGUGAGGCUGUGGGUUGCAGGCUUCAGGACUGGCAUUCCUCUUGGGUAAAGCUUGCCCAUCUGCCACUCAAGAAGACUUUGAAAGUUUGAGUGGGGACCUCAUCUUAUUUACCUUGUCUUCAGUGCCCAGGAUGGUGUAAACAACACCCAGCACAUGUGGUAGGCUGAAUGGAAUGAGCUAACGGAACAGUCAAUGCCCUGACUAGCCCCACUUCCCCCUGAGGAACAGAGCAUUUUGCCUCUCACUAAGUGACUUUCACAAUUCCCCCAUAAGGCCUAGUCUAAGGACACAUAAUUCUUGUCUUGCUGACAGUUCCCAACAGGAUCCUAGAGAGGCUGUUGGUGUGCUAUGGAGAAUACCCCAAACCUCUUCCUUGCCCAUCUCGCUUACAGAGUUGAGCUGCCAGAAGCCAGUCCAGAGCUCGCACUCUGGGCUCAGAGAUCCCCAGUGCCUAUCAGUCUAUUCACCUUCCAGCUCAUGUGAGAACUGUGAAGCCUCCACUUCCUCAAAUACCCACAGCACUGGGCUUUUGCGGGUUGUGAAUGAGAGAAGACCUCCUGAACUCCAAGCAAAGCAUCCAGCCCGCUCUAAACAUCCCCACAAGGAUGCCCACGGCUCCCAUUGCAGUUGCCUUUCUCCCUGCAGGCGGAAUUGAUCUCCUUCCUCUCAAAUAGGGCAGGAAGAUGCUCUGCUGUGCCUGGGAGAUGUCACCAAGGACACAAGAGAAAACUCUGG